rnacentral:pre_miRNA from 1 species
UGAGGUAGUAGGUUGUAUGGUUUGUGGGAUGGAGUAAAUCCUACUCAGGGGAUAACUAUACAACCUACUGCCUUCC